UUGAAAAGAGAGUUAAAGAGUACCUGAAAUUGCUGAAACGGAAGCGAAGGAAACCAGUGUUUGUUGGUUCAUAUUUCCCUGGCCACUUGUGGUUUGGGCGCUGUGAGCUUGCGUGGGUUUGGGUUGGUUGAUCCCUUUGGAAGAGCGCAGUCAGAGUUGAUGUCUGUUGCUAGCACUGGGUUUGACUGAUGCAGACGAAAUGGUUUUCUUUACCCCGUCUUGUAACACGGACCAAGGAGUCUAACAUAUGUGCGAG
rnacentral:rRNA from 1 species